CGAUGAUACGCGAGGAACCGUACCUGGGCGUCGAACGUAAGAUGACUGUAGGUGAAAGCUUACAUCUCUUCGGAGCAUUUUACGAGGUGCUGCAUGGUUGUCGUCAGCUCGUGCCGUGAGGUGUCGGGUUAAGUCCCAUAACGAGCGCAACCCCUACCUUUAGUUGCCAUCAGGUUAAGCUGGGGACUCUAAAGGAACUGCCUACGCAAGUAGUGAGGAAGGCGGGGAUGACGUCAAAUCAGCACGGCCCUUACGUCCAGGGCUACACACGUGCUACAAUGGCCGAUACAGAGGGCAGCUACCUGGUGACAGGAUGCAAAUCUCCAAAGUCGGUCUCAGUUCGGAUCGGAGUCUGCAACCCGACUCCGUGAAGUUGGAUUCGCUAGUAAUCGCGCAUCAGCCAUGGCGCGGUGAAUACAUUCCCGGGCCUU
rnacentral:rRNA from 1 species